rnacentral:rRNA from 1 species
UACGUAGGGGGCAAGCGUUGUCCGGAUUUAUUGGGCGUAAAGAGCGUGUAGGCGGCCAGAUAGGUCCGUUGUGAAAACUCGAGGCUCAACCUCGAGACGCCGAUGGAAACCAUUUGGCUAGAGUCCGGAAGAGGAGAGUGGAAUUCCUGGUGUAGCGGUGAAAUGCGCAGAUAUCAGGAAGAACACCCGUGGCUAAGGCGGCUCUCUAGUACGGUACUGGACGCUGAGACGCGAAAGCGUGGGGAGCGAACAGG